GCGGGGUUCCAAUUGCGUGCGCGUAUGGAUGCUCCUUUCCCCGCCGCCUUUCUAGCAACUAGUUGAUGUUAUGAUGCAUCGUUGGUCCGGCGUACGAUGGCGCCUGGUGCGAUGUAUGCGUCCGGAAGCCCUUUCAGCCUCCAGGCAUGUCCCCACCUGCCUCACAGCCACCGACGCAUCUCACGGCGGGGUUCCAAUUGCGUGCACGUAUGGAUGCUCCUUUCCCCGCCGCCUUUCUAGCAACUAGUUGAUGUUAUGAUGCAUCGUUGGUCCGGUGUACGACGGCGCCUGGUGCGAUUUAUGCGUCCGGAAGCCCUUUCAGCCUCCAGGCAUGUCCCCACCUGCCUCACAGCCACCGACGCAUCUCACGGCGGGGUUCCAAUUGCGUGCGCGUAUGGAUGCUCCUUUCGCCGCCUUUCCAGCAACUAGUUGAUGUUAUGAUGCAUCGUUGGUCCGGCGUACGACGGCGCCUGAUGCGAUUUAUGCGUCCGGAAGCCCUUUCAGCCUCCAGGCAUGUCCCCACCUGCCUCACAGCCACCGACGCAUCUCACGGCGGGGGUCUAAUUGUGUGCGCGUAUGGAUGCUCCUUUCGCCGCCGCUUUCUAGCAACUAGUUGAUGUUAUGAUGCAUCGUUGGUCCGGCGUACGACGGCGCCUGAUGCGAUUUAUGCGUCCGGAAGCCCUUUCAGCCUCCAGGCACGUCCCCACCUGCCUCACAGCUACCGACGCAUCUCACGGCGGGGGUCUAAUUGUGUGCGCGUAUGGAUGCUCCUUUCGCCGCCGCUUUCUAGCAACUAGUUGAUGUUAUGAUGCAUCGUUGGUCCGGCGUACGACGGCGCCUGAUGCGAUUUAUGCGUCCGGAAGCCCUUUCAGCCUCCAGGCAUGUCCACACCUGCCUCACAGCCACCGACGCAUCUCACGGCGGGGGUCUAAUUGCGUGCGCGUAUGGAUGCUCCUUUCCCCGCCGCAUUUCUAGCAACUAGUUGAUGUUAUGAUGCAUCGUUGGUCCGGUGUACGAUGGCGCCUGAUGCGAUUUAUGCGUCCGGAAGCCCUUUCAGCCUCCAGGCAUGUCCCCACCUGCCUCACAGCCACCGACGCAUCUCACGGCGGGGGUCUAAUUGCGUGCGCGUAUGGAUGCUCCUUUCGCCGCCUUUCUAGCAACUAGUUGAUGUUCUGAUGCAUCGUUGGUCCGGCGUACGACGGCGCCUGAUGCGAUUUAUGCGUCCGGAAGCCCUUUCAGCCUCCAGGCAUGUCCCUACCUGCCUCACAGCCACCGACGCAUCUCACGGCGGGGUUCCAAUUGUGUGCGCGUAUGGAUGCUCCUUUCCCCGCCGCCUUUCUAGCAACUAGUUGAUGUUAUGAUGCAUCGUUGGUCCGGUGUACGACGGCGCCUGAUGCGAUUUAUGCGUCCGGAAGCCCUUUCAGCCUCCAGGCACGUCCCCACCUGCCUCACAGCCACCGAGGCAUCUCACGGCGAGGGUCUAAUUGCGUGCGCGUAUGGAUGCUCCUUUCGCCGCCUUUCCAGCAACUAGUUGAUGUUAUGAUGCAUCGUUGGUCCGGCGUACGACGGCGCCUGAUGCGAUUUAUGCGUCCGGAAGCCCUUUCAGCCUCCAGGCAUGUCCCCACCUGCCUCACAGCCACCGACGCAUCUCACGGCGGGGUUCCAAUUGCGUGCGCGUAUGGAUGCUCCUUUCGCCGCCUUUCCAGCAACUAGUUGAUGUUAUGAUGCAUCGUUGGUCCGGUGUACGACGGCGCCUGAUGCGAUUUAUGCGUCUGAAAGCCCUUUCAGCCUCCAGGCAUGUCCCCACCUGCCUCACAGCCACCGACGCAUCUCACGGCGGGGUUCCAAUUGCGUGCGCGUAUGGAUGCUCCUUUCC
rnacentral:lncRNA from 1 species